CACAGUUGUUGCAAAAUAACGAAAGUUGGCUUGUACAGCCCACCGUAACAUGGUCUGGCUGGUACAUCCUGGGCUUUAGAGCGUGCAGUCCCUGCAAUUGCUGCAGGGGUGGGUCACGUGACGAUCCUCUUCAACAAUAUCCGGGCCUUGCAGACACGAUGUCGGACUCCUCUUCCAUUUAACAUAGUAUUUGUUAUAUUUCACAGAUGCUGCUCAGGCGCAGCUUUUGAUGAACACUGCUACAUCACCAUGUUUGAGCAAUAAAGUAACAAAUAUUU